rnacentral:rRNA from 1 species
GAUGAACGCUGGCGGCGUGCCUAAUACAUGCAAGUCGAGCGAACGGACGAGAAGCUUGCUUUUCUGAUGUUAGCGGCGGACGGGUGAGUAACACGUGGAUAACCUACCUAUAAGACUGGGAUAACUUCGGGAAACCGGAGCUAAUACCGGCUAAUAUUUUGAACCGCAUGGUUCAAAAGUGAAAGACGGUCUUGCUGUCACUUAUAGAUGGAUCCGCGCUGCAUUAGCUAGUUGGUAAGGUAACGGCUUACCAAGGCAACGAGGCAUAGCCGACCUGAGAGGGUGAUCGGCCACACUGGAACUGAGACACGGUCCAGACUCCUACGGGAGGCAGCAGUAGGGAAUCUUCCGCAAUGGACGAAAGCCUGACGGAGCAACGCCGCGGGAGUGAUGAAGGUCUUCGGAUCGGAAAACUCUGUUAUUAGGGAAGAACAUAUGUGUAAGUAACUGUGCACAUCUUGACGGUACCUAAUCAGAAAGCCACGGCUAACUACGUG